UCUCCUGAACAGAUUCCUUGCUUUUCAUAUGCUUGGGACUGGCCUAAGCCUCACUAGCGAAUGUUUUCAGCUGCUUCAUUCCUUAAAUGACAGCAUCCCUGGACUCUAGCAACCCCUCCGACAAGACCAGGACGGCUUCUUCCCGACAACUGGCAGCAGAGAAGGGUCAGUUCCUUGUGCAUCUUGUCAAAGGUCACAUAGAUGUUCUACUUGGAAUAAGAUCAGUCCUAGAACCUCCUGAGUAUUUUGUGACAAUAGCAGACCUCAAUCAACACUACAGAAUGAAGAGGAGGAUAGAAGAUCAGGAGCGUGAGGAGG
rnacentral:lncRNA from 1 species